rnacentral:rRNA from 1 species
CAAAGAUUAAGCCAUGCAUGUCUCAGUGCAAGCCGAAUUAAGGUGAAACCGCGAAAGGCUCAUUAAAUCAGCUAUAAUUCAAUUGAUGGUACAAUCACGGUUACUUGGAUAACUGUGGCAAUUCUAGAGCUAAUACAUGCAAAAUGAGUUCCGACCGCGUUGCGACACCGGCAAUCAAUUGUACGGCCGCAGCGCGGAACGAAUGCUUUUAUUAGAACAAAACCAAUCGGAUCUUUCGUUCGCGGUCGUCCCGGCUCGUUUCCGGAACCGCGAAAUUCGAAGGCCAUCCGCAAAUUCCUGGUGACUCUGAAUAACUUUUGGCUGAUCGCACGGUCACGCACCGGCGACGCAUCUUUCAAAUGUCUGACUUAUCAACUUUCGAUGGUAGGCUACGCGCCUACCAUGGUGAUAACGGGUGACGGGGAAUCAGGGUUCGAUUCCGGAGAGGGAGCCUGAGAAACGGCUACCACAUCCAAGGAAGGCAGCAGGCGCGCAAAUUACCCACUCCCGGCACGGGGAGGUAGUGACGAAAAAUAA